rnacentral:lncRNA from 1 species
GCAGGUAAUAUAGGUAUAUGGAACUGGUAAGCUAAUGUUUGUGUUUAAUUUCCUAUAAAACUGAAAUGCUAGUCCCUUUUGUUCCUUACUGGACUCUUUUUAAGAUCACACUGGCCUGAUAGCUGACUGUUUUUCCCAGUGCAGUGUAGGUGACCACCAGGUGCCAAGGAAGGAUACCCAGUACCACAGGUACCUGAUGACGACAACAGCUUAAGAAGAUUCAAUUGGCUGGUGUGACUGAUAGAAUUAAGUGGCUAAUGACUGAGGAGGUCCAAGGGAAAAUGAACGACGAUGACCAAAGAAGCAAACUGGAGGACUUCAACAGUAGAUAUAAGCAGUUAGUGAAAAUAAACCCAAUAUCUGGGAAGGGCACCAGUGCUUGAAAAUGGGGCUCUCUCUGCCUUGACAGAGCAGUGACAGCAUAGCACAGCAUAGCUUACUCCCACCUAAUCCUCUGUAAUCCCCAAUUGGAACAAUUAAUUACCCAAGGGGUCAUGCUCUAUUCCUGUGGUAUUUCUACUGAGAGCUUUACGAGGUGGACAUGUGUCCAUUAUGAUGCAUUUUGACGGCUCCUUUCACUUAGAGCUGAGAAUAUUCGUUGAUUGUGGUCAGUACAUUUUCGUGUUGUAAAUGGAGUGUGGCUGAAGCGUUCCCUUGAUCACAGAUCACAGAAAACAGCAUGUGUUUAGAGAGGGAAAGAGAAAGGGAGAACAAGCCUGUGGAUUUAGAAAUCAUUUUGCUUGUCUAAAGCUGGGCCUCGUUCCAUCCAGAUGACACAAACAGGAAGUGAGAUGAGAAG